rfam:Flavobacterium branchiophilum FL-15, complete genome.
UUUAUCGUGAGGUAUGCACUGAAGGAAGCCAAAUGCGAAGCAUUCAUGAACUCCAAAAAAAAAAAUGAAAACUUCCUGAAUAAACGGCAAAAGUCUGUACCGACGAACAGAAUUUAGCGAAGCGAUAUCACGAACACCAAAAAAAUAAUAAAAACUUGUGAGUAAAUUGCAUACGAGGCAUUUAGUAGGGGAUGAUCGUCCACAGCAACGUAAAGUCCGAAGAAUACAAAAUCUACUAGAUGUAGAUGCAGCGGGGAUAGACGGAAGGAAA